rnacentral:rRNA from 1 species
GAUGAACGCUGGCGGCGUGCCUAAUACAUGCAAGUCGAGCGAACGGACGAGGAGCUUGCUGCUCGGACGUUAGCGGCGGACGGGUGAGUAACACGUGGAAAACCUACCUAUAAGACUGGGAUAACCUGGGGAAACCGGAGCUAAUACCGGAGAAUAUUUUGAUCCGCAGGGGUGAAAAGAAAGAGACGGUGUUGCGGGAACGAAUAGAGGGAUCCGGGCUGGAUUAGGGAGUUGGGAGGGUAACGGCUUUCCAAGGCGACGGUGCAUAGCCGACCUGAGAGGGUGUUCGGCCCCUCUGGAGCUGAGACGCGGUCCAGGCUCCGACGGGCGGCAGCGGUUGCUAAUCUACCGCAAUGGGCGGAAGCCUGACGGAGCGGCGGCGGGUGGGUGAUGAAGGUCUGCGGGCCGUAAAACUGUGUUAUUGGGGUAGAACAUAUGUGUAAGUGACUGUGCGCAUCUUGCCGGUACCUGUUCAGAAGGCCCCGGCUACCUCCGU